rnacentral:Y_RNA from 1 species
GGCUGGUCUGAUGGUAGCGGGUUAUCCGAACUUACUAACAUUAGUGUCACUAAAGUUGGUAUACAAUCCUCCACCACUAAAUUUGACUGGCUUUAA